rnacentral:rRNA from 1 species
UGGGGAAUUUUGGACAAUGGACGCAAGUCUGAUCCAGCCAUGCCGCGUGUGGGAAGAAGGCCUUCGGGUUGUAAACCGCUUUUGUCAGGGAAGAAACGAGUUUCUCUAAUACAGAGACUUAAUGACGGUACCUGAAGAAUAAGCACCGGCUAACUACGUGCCAGCAGCCGCGGUAAUACGUAGGGUGCAAGCGUUAAUCGGAAUUACUGGGCGUAAAGCGUGCGCAGGCGGUUAUGCAAGACAGAUGUGAAAUCCCCGGGCUCAACCUGGGAACUGCCUUUGUGACUGCAUAGCUAGAGUACGGUAGAGGGGGAUGGAAUUCCGCGUGUAGCAGUGAAAUGCGUAGAUAUGCGGAGGAACACCGAUGGCGAAGGCAAUCCCCUGGACCUGUACUGACGCUCAUGCACGAAAGCGUGGGGAGCAAACA